rnacentral:pre_miRNA from 8 species
GCUGGAGCAAGAAGAUCUCAGGCUGUGACCGUCUCGAGGAAAGAAGCACUUUCUGUUGUCUAAAGAAAAGGAAGUGUUUCCUUCCCGAGGGUUACGGUUUGAGAAAAGCAACGUUGAAGUUG